UAAUACGGGGGGAGCAAGCGUUGUUCGGAUUUACUGGGCGUAAAGGGCGCGUAGGCGGCCAGCGCAANUCAGUUGUGAAAUCUCCGGGCUUAACUCGGAACGGUCAACUGAUACUGCGCGGCUAGAGUGCAGAAGGGGCAACUGGAAUUCUCGGUGUAGCGGUGAAAUGCGUAGAUAUCGAGAGGAACACCUGCGGCGAAGGCGGGUUGCUGGGCUGACACUGACGCUGAGGCGCGAAAGCCAGGGGAGCGAACGGGAUUAGAUACCCCGGUAGUCCUGGCCUUAAACGAUGGAUGCUUGGUGUCUGGAGUUUUAUAGUCUCCGGGUGCCGUAGCUAACGCGUUAAGCAUCCCGCCUGGGGAGUACGGUCGCAAGACU
rnacentral:rRNA from 1 species